CGUAUUUAUUUAUUAUUAUAAAAUAUGCCGAAAAGCCUAUUAUUAUAUAAAUAUCAUCACGAAAUAUACUAAUCAACAUAAAUACAAUUUCGAAAUAAAAAGAAAAACAUAAAACAACUGAUCAUGGUGUCAAUACCGCUAUGAGACGUCGAGUUCCGAGUAAGGAUAGAGAAUCGAUAUCGCCUAUUCAAAUUUCUCAUAAAAAA